UAAAAUUGGAUAUCAGUAUUGGCAGGGCGGACCUAUGAAGAAGCCAUUCAAAAACUCUUCUUUCAUUAUGAUGAAUGCUUAAAUCGGCAACAAGUCUCCAGUGUCUUACUCUGCGAUGAGUUGAUAAGGGGUUCUGCAAUGAAAAAAGGGCUUCAAGCUUUUACGAUUUUAC